rnacentral:rRNA from 1 species
UAAGGAAUCUUCCACAAUGGGCGAAAGCCUGAUGGAGCAACGCCGCGUGCAGGAUGAAGGCCCUCGGGUCGUAAACUGCUUUUAUGAGUGAAGAAUAUGACGGUAACUCAUGAAUAAGCACCGGCUAACUACGUGCCAGCAGCCGCGGUCAUACGUAGGGUGCAAGCAUUAUCCGGAGUGACUGGGAGUAAAGAGUUGCGUAGGCGGUUAGUAAAGCGAAUAGUGAAACCUGGUGGCUCAACCAUACAGACUAUUAUUCGAACUCACUAACUCGAGAGUGGUAGAGGUAACUGGAAUUUCUUGUGUAGAAGUGAAAUCCGUAGAUAUAAGAAGGAACACCAAUGGCGUAGGCAGGUUACUGGACCAUUUCUGACGCUAAGGCACGAAAGCGUGG